rnacentral:rRNA from 1 species
UACGUAGGGUGCAAGCGUUGUCCGGAAUUAUUGGGCGUAAAGAGCUCGUAGGCGGUUUGUCGCGUCUGCUGUGAAAACUCGGGGCUUAACUCCGGGCCUGCAGUGGGUACGGGCAGACUAGAGUGCGGUAGGGGAGACUGGAAUUCCUGGUGUAGCGGUGAAAUGCGCAGAUAUCAGGAGGAACACCGGUGGCGAAGGUGGGUCUCUGGGCCGUAACUGACGCUGAGGAGCGAAAGCAUGGGGAGCGAACAGG